rnacentral:rRNA from 1 species
AUUGAACGCUGGCGGAAUGCUUUACACAUGCAAGUCGAACGGCAGCACGGGGGCAACCCUGGUGUCGAGUGGCGAACGGGUGAGUAAUACAUCGGAACGUGCCCGGUCGUGGGGGAUAACGUAGCGAAAGUUACGCUAAUACCGCAUACGAUCUGAGGAUGAAAGCGGGGGACCUUCGGUCCUCGCGCGAUCGGAUCUUCCUAUGUCAGAUUAGGUAGUUGGUGUGGUAAAGGCCUACCAAGCCGACGAUCUGUAGCUGGUCUGAGAGGACGACCAGCCACACUGGGACUGAGACACGGACAAGACUACUACGGGAGGCAGCAGUGGGGAAUAGUGGACAAUGGGCGCAAGCCUGAUACAGCAAUGCCGCGUGCAGGACGAAGGCGUUCGGGUUGUAAACUGAUUUUGUAUGGAAAGAAAAGGCUCUGGAUAAUACCUGGGGCGAAUGACGGUACCGAAAGAAUAAGCACCGGCUAACUACGUG